GAACGCGAAGAACCUUACCAUCCCUUGACAUGGCAUGUUACCUCGGGAGACCGGGGAUCCUCUUCGGAGGCGUGCACACAGGUGCUGCAUGGCUGUCGUCAGCUCGUGUCGUGAGAUGUUGGGUUAAGUCCCGCAACGAGCGCAACCCACGUCCUUAGUUGCCAUCAUUCAGUUGGGCACUCUAGGGAGACUGCCGGUGAUAAGCCGCGAGGAAGGUGUGGAUGACGUCAAGUCCUCAUGGCCCUUACGGGAUGGGCUACACACGUGCUACAAUGGCGGUGACAGUGGGACGCGAAACCGCGAGGUCGAGCAAAUCCCCAAAAACCGUCUCAGUUCGGAUUGCACUCUGCAACUCGGGUGCAUGAAGGCGGAAUCGCUAGUAAUCGUGGAUCAGCACGCCACGGUGAAUACGUUCCCGGGUCUUGUACACACC
rnacentral:rRNA from 1 species